rnacentral:rRNA from 1 species
AUUGAACGCUGGCGGCAGGCCUAACACAUGCAAGUCGAACGAGUGGCGGACGUGUGAGUACUGUCUGGGACACUGCCUGAUGGGGGGGGAUAACUACUGGAAACGGUAUCUAAUACCGCAUACCCUCAGAUGUGCCCAGAUGGUAUUAGCUUGUUGGGGGGGUAACGGCUCACCAAGGCGACGAUCCCUAGCUGGUCUGAGAGGAUGACCAGGCACACUGGAACUGAGACACGGCCCAGACUCCUACGGGAGGCAGCAGUGGGGAAUAUUGCACAAUGGGCGCAAGCCUGAUGCAGCCAUGCCGCGUGUAUGAAGAAGGCCUUCGGGUUGUAAAGUACUUUCAGAGGGGAGGCGUUACCCGCAGAAGAAGCACCGGCUAACUCCGUGCCAGCAGCCGCGGUAAUAC